UAAGCAUCUCAUUAACUGACAGAAUUCUUUACAAAGCAACCUCUGUUUUGGGAGAACUUGUACUAGGUUUAUUUAUAAUUGUCCUAUUUCUAAGCACCAAAUUUAUUUUCACUGCUGCUUUUGUUAUAGGGAAAUAUUCACCCUCCAAAGACUGGUUUUUUCGGACUUUAUUUUCUAGAAGACCACAAAGUUUCGGAAUCUCAACAAUUACCACAAUUGCCACCACUUCUGCUGCAUUCAAAGGAGUGAAAAUGAAAGCUGCGUGAGUGUGUGCUCAGUCGUGUCUGACUCUGUGGCCCUGUGGACUGUAGCCCACCAGGUUCCUCUGCCCAUGGAGUUUUCCAGGCAAGAACAUUGGAAAGGUACCAAUGGAAGAUGUUCAGACAAAAAACAAGAUCCCUAACAUGAAUGUCCUUCAAUGGUUUGUUGACUCAACUGUCAAGGAGCUGCAGCUGUCAGUCAUGGCCUGGGGAAUAAUGAUCAAUUUGACACAUGCACAGCAAUGACAAUCUUGUCAGGACCACCUCUGGCCAGCAGUCAUUGUAAGGUAUUACCAUGGCAAAAUACAUUCUGAUUUCAGAGAUGUCGAACUAUAAAAAGAAAGUGCAACAUAGAAUCAACAAAAUACAUCAUCUUAACAAGAAAUCUGACAAUAUGAUAGCUCUAGGGCAGGUUAAUUGAAUGGCUCAAUAAUGCCAUAAGGAACCCAAGUUCUUUUCACCUUUCUACCCAUCCACCCUCAGCCAAAUAUCUUGUGCUCAAUUUAUUGCCUUCGUGGACCCAGAUAAUGCUAGAGUUUUAGGAGUCAUGGAAACCUCAAAUCUAGAGGAGGAAGAAGGUUGUUUGCUCCGAAGUGUCUCUGUUUAUCAGUAAGCAAAACAAUCCUUUUGAAAAACAGUCCAGUCACACAGAAAGAAGGAGAUGGAUGAAUGCCAUUUUUUCAGCUCUAUCCCAUUGUAACUUCGCAGGAGUCAGGGCCUAAUGUUACAGAUUUUCUAAUUUAUCAACCAAUAUCAGAAAUCUAGAUGUUUCUGUGGAAUACUCUGGUUUUUAAAAUGUAUCUCCAACCCAUCUGUUUCAGUACCAUACCACUUAGCCCAUAUAUAGCAUGGAAGCUAACUGAAUUUCAGUCUGAUGGUGCUCUACAGAAACCUGGGUUUGUGAGAAAAAAUUGAACUACAACUCAUGCAGCAAUUCUGGAAAGGUAUCCUGCAUCUAUUAAUAACUAAUGCAUCUGGGGACCACGUACUGCCAGCAGAAAUGACAUAAAUGAGACAUAGGUGGCCUCUGCAUAGGAGAAACUCAGGGGCAAAUCUCAACCUUUACCAAUAGGCAGGUUGUUCUGAAGUGGUUCCCCUAAUAAAAGUCCUUUUAGGCUUCCCUUAGGAGUUCUAACUUGGCAAAGAGUCUGUGAUGGCACCACAAAAAACUCUAGGCAUCAUUCUAGCAGGUGAUUCAGACCCCAAGCCUGCCUUCAACUUGGUGAUCACUCUCACAUCCAUGCACUUCAAUCACAUGGCACGUGGCCAGCCUUUUCCCCAGCAUUGCUCCUCCCUUGGCCUCUGUCCUAGACCCCAUCCUCAUCUACUUGUCACUCCCUGGACCCAAUCUCUUUCACUUGGACUUUCACUUGCUUCUAAUUAAUUUGGGCCAACAGCUGUAAGCUCAGCCUCCCAUUUCCUUUAACCAUUCUAUCAUUCUAACUCUUUCUAUAGUACUCAAGUUAGAUGUCUAUCUGUCCAUCCCCUCCAGAUGUUAAUCACCCAUGGCUCCAUAAUCUCUGUCACAUCUGGGAAAAACCUGAUAACUUUCACAUGAAAAAAUGAGCAGCUGUGGGUUUAUGGCCUACAUAGCUAGCGUUCUCAGAAGUGUGAGUAGCAGAAAGAAAAAUAUUCUUUCUCAAGUGUGAUUUAUUUCCUUUCCCUUUCUUUCUUCCUUCUUCUCAUCUUCCUUAACUUUAUUUCCUCCUUCAUAUCCUUCUUCUAAGGAAUUUUUAAAGUAUACAAGAGGGGCUUCCCUGGUGAUACAGUGGACAAGAAUCUGCUUGCCAAUUCAGGGGACAUGGGUUCAAUUCCUGGUCUGGGAAGAUUCCAUAUGCCAUGGAGCAACUAAGCCUGGGAGCUGCAACUACUGAGCCUGAGUGCUAUAGCUACUGGAGCCCCAGCACCGAGAGCCUUGCUCCAUGGCGAGAGAAGUCGCCACAAGAAGAAGGCCGCACACCGCGACUUAGAGCAAGCCCUGCUCGCCACAACAAGAGAAAGCCCACACAGCAAUGAAGACCCAGUGAAGCCAAAAAUAAAUAAACUUUUUUAAAAAACACAAAAUUAAGUAUACAAG